rnacentral:rRNA from 1 species
AUACGGAGGGUCCAAGCGUUAUCCGGAAUCAUUGGGUUUAAAGGGUGCGCAGGCGGUUUAUUAAGUCAGUGGUGAAAUCUCGAGGCUCAACCUCGAAACUGCCAUUGAUACUGAUAAACUUGAGUUCAGUUGGAGUAGGCGGAAUGUGUGGUGUAGCGGUGAAAUGCUUAGAUAUUACACAGAACACCGAUAGCGAAGGCAGCUUACUAAACUGAUACUGACGCUGAGGCACGAAAGCGUGGGGAGCGAACAGGAUUAGAUACCCUAGUAGUCC